UACAGAGGUCCCGAGCGUUGUUCGGAUUCAUUGGGCGUAAAGGGUGCGUAGGCGGCGGGGCAAGUCAGGUGUGAAAUCCCGGAGCUCAACUCCGGAACUGCAUUUGAUACUGCCUCGCUAGAGUACUGGAGAGGAGACUGGAAUUUACGGUGUAGCAGUGAAAUGCGUAGAGAUCGUAAGGAAGACCAGUGGCGAAGGCGAGUCUCUGGACAGUUACUGACGCUGAGGCACGAAGGCCAGGGGAGCAAACGGG
rnacentral:rRNA from 1 species